rnacentral:rRNA from 1 species
GACGAACGCUGGCGGCAUGCCUAACACAUGCAAGUCGAACGAAACCUUCGGGUCUCGUGGCGCACGGGUGCGUACCCCGUGGGAACAUGCCCUUAUGGUCGGAAUAACUCCCCGAAAGGGGUGCUAAUACCGGAUAGUGUCUUCGGACCAAUGAUUUAUCGCCCUUGGAUGUGCCGGCGUUGGAUUAGCUAGUUGUUAGGGUAAUAGCCUACCAAGGCGAGAAUUUGGAGCUGGUCAGAGAGGAUGAUCAGCGGCACUGAGACUGAGACGCGGCCGAAACUCCUACGGGAGGAAGCAGUGGGGAAUAUUGAACAAGGGGCGAAGGGAUGAGCCUGCAGGGCCUCGUGAGGUAUGAUGGCCUUGGGGUUGAAAAGCUCUUUUAGCCGGGAGGAUAAUGACGGUACCGGGAGAAUAAGCUCCGGCUAACUCCGUG